GGAUUACCUCAGUAACGGCGAGUGAAGCGGUAACAGCUCAAAUUUGAAAUCUGGCUCUUUCAGGGUCCGAGUUGUAAUUUGUAGAAGAUGCUUUGGGCAUUGCUCCGGUCUAAGUUCCUUGGAACAGGACGUCAUAGAGGGUGAGAAUCCCGUAUGUGACUGGUGGCAUUUGUCCGUGUAAAGCUCUUUCGACGAGUCGAGUUGUUUGGGAAUGCAGCUCAAAAUGGGUGGUAUAUUUCAUCUAAAGCUAAAUAUUGGCCAGAGACCGAUAGCGCACAAGUAGAGUGAUCGAAAGAUGAAAAGCACUUUGGAAAGAGAGUUAAACAGUACGUGAAAUUGUUGAAAGGGAAGCGCUUGCAACCAGACUUGCAGGUCGUUGAUCAUCCGGGGUUCUCCCCGGUGCACUCGGCGGCUUUCAGGCCAGCAUCGGUUUGAGUGGUGGGAUAAAGGCCUUGGGAAUGUGGCUCCUUUCGGGGAGUGUUAUAGCCCAAGGUGCAAUGCCGCCUAUUCGGACCGAGGACCGCGCUUCGGCUAGGAUGCUGGCGUAAUGGUUGUAAGCGACCCGUCUUGAAACACGGACCAAGGAGUCUAACAUCUAUGCGAGUGUUUGGGUGUCAAACCCAUACGCGUAAUUAACGUGAACGGAGGUAAGAACCCUUAAGGGUGCAUUAUCGACCGAUCCUGAUGUCUUCGGAUGGAUUUGAGUAAGAGCAUAGCUGUUGGGACCCGAAAGAUGGUGAACUAUGCCUGAAUAGGGUGAAGCCAGAGGAAACUCUGGUGGAGGCUCGCAGCGGUUCUGACGUGCAAAUCGAUCGUCAAAUUUGGGUAUAGGGGCGAAAGACUAAUCGAA
rnacentral:rRNA from 1 species